CAAAAAACGUUGAAGAGGAAAAGUAAGCGGCAGAUGCCUUUCAGAGAGAACCGCCAUGGCUGCGAGCGGUUUAGGCCUCUCUGUCCGCAGAAAUGCCCCUCUGAGUCUGCGGCUGAACAAAAGUAAGCGGCGGCGGGUACAUUCCGUUAUCAAUUUGGAGUUGGGAAGAUGGCACUGCCAUUUUUCAAACAGAGUGGAACCGCGUGUACAAAACGUCUCUGUC
rnacentral:ncRNA from 1 species